rnacentral:rRNA from 1 species
AGUGAACGCUGGCGGUAGACCUAACACAUGCAAGUCGAACGGCAGCACAGUAAGAGCUUGCUCUUACGGGUGGCGAGUGGCGGACGGGUGAGGAAUACAUCGGAAUCUACUUUUUCGUGGGGGAUAACGUAGGGAAACUUACGCUAAUACCGCAUACGACCUACGGGUGAAAGCAGGGGAUCUUCGGACCUUGCGCGAUUGAAUGAGCCGAUGUCGGAUUAGCUAGUUGGCGGGGUAAAGGCCCACCAAGGCGACGAUCCGUAGCUGGUCUGAGAGGAUGAUCAGCCACACUGGAACUUGGACACGGUCCAGACUCCUACGGGAGGCAGCAGUGGGGAAUAUUGGACAAUGGGGGCAAGCCUGAUCCAGCCAUACCGCGUGGGUGAAGAAGGCCUUCGGGUUGUAAAGCCCUUUUGUUGGGAAAGAAAAGCAGCAGGUUAAUACCCCGCUGUUCUGACGGUACCCAAAGAAUAAGCACCGGCUAACUUCGUG